UCCAUCGGGAGGAGGAAUCUGAAGGAAGCCGCAGGCAAACCCCCGGGUUGGCUGACGGC
rfam:Syntrophobacter fumaroxidans MPOB, complete genome.